rnacentral:rRNA from 1 species
UACGAAGGGUGCAAGCGUUACUCGGAAUUACUGGGCGUAAAGCGUGCGUAGGCGGUUUGUUAAGUCUGUCGUGAAAGCCCUGGGCUCAACCUGGGAAUUGCGAUGGAUACUGGCAAGCUAGAGUACGGUAGAGGAUGGUGGGAUUCCCGGUGUAGCGGUGAAAUGCGUAGAGAUCGGGAGGAACACCCGUGGCGAAGGCGGUUCUCUGGGCCUUACCUGACACUGAGGAGCGAAAGCGUGGGGAGCGAACAGG